GGGCGGGCUUGGCGGCGAAAGGCGCUUCCUCAGCCCGCGCGGGAGACCCAGAAGUAGUACUGAGGUAGCGCUCGUCCUCCCGCCGGUCCACCACCACCGAGUGUAGCCCGGGCCCGGCCUAUUUCAUCAGACACAACCCCAGAGCCGGGAGCCACCCCUACCCCGGGAGCCCUUCGCCAAGCACGCAGCUCCAGACCAGAAGCAGUCGCUCCGACCCAGAGCUCCGGGUGGGGCAGAAGAAUCUUUUCUUGCUGCUCUCCUAGGAUCUACCAACCAGAGAUUCUAAUGUGAUACGUUUGGAAUGGAGUUAUCGAUCUGCAUUUUUAAUAGGCAUUCCUCCAGGCUUGGGUCCCAGCUCCAAAAUGUCUCAUUAUCUGUAUUUGAAUAUCCCCAAAUUUGAAAAAUUCAAAAUCUGAAACACUUCUGAUCCCAAGCAUUUCAGACUCCUAAGAGUUAAUACGAAGUAGAAAGAGAAGUUGGAGUUAAGCAGCUCGUUCCAGUUCUGAUUUUGCCAUUUCCUGUCUGAGUGACCUGAAAAGAACGUCGGUCCUGGCAGUCUUUCAGCCACAAAGCUUUGAGAAAUGGGGCUAAAUAUUAAUAAUAACUGCUUGGAUUAUAAUGAGGAAUCAAUCAAAACACAUACUGUUGAUGAAGAUGCCUUGAACACCGUGGAUGCUGUAGAAUAAGGGAUUAUGACUACAGCAAUUCUUGGCUCCCUUCUCUGUUUGUUUAAGGGUUACACAGGCUUUGUUUAAUAUCUCCGUGUCUCAGUCCUUUCGGUUGAAGCACAAGGCAUGCUUCAGCCACCUGAGAUUAACUGCUAAACCCUGCAGCAAGCCAGCAUCUCCUCCCUGCUGCCUCUCAUCCGUCAGGAUCUGCUCUGGAAAUGGGCCAGUGGUGACGUGUGGGAAUGCAGCCCUUUGUGUUUGUUUUUGGUGUUGGAUUUGGUGGCCUUGGUCACGGAUUGGCUUCCUUCUUUGAAACUGAACAUCUUCCAUGCCUUUGUGAUUGAGUGACAAAAGUUCAACCUGCACAUGCCAAAAUGAACAGCCUAGAAAACUGAUUAUGGUUUCAGGACCAGCUUUAAAAAAAAGCAACAAAACCCUUCCAGUCACCCAGAGUUCUAAACAUAAUCGGUUGGUUCCCAGAAGUACAAUAAAAGGAAGCCAGAAGUAUUUUAGUCCCUAGUUGUUUAUGAAUCAACCUGAUUUUCUUUUUCAGACUUUGAAGGUCACAGAAUCAAAUCAUGUGGAGCCAUUUC
rnacentral:lncRNA from 10 species